UAUAUAUAUUUUCACCUGCCUUUCUUCUCCCAUCCAUCAUCAUAUCUCUCUCUAAUUUCUCUCCGUAUAACACAAACU
rnacentral:sRNA from 1 species